GAUGAACGCUGGCGGCGUGCCUAAUACAUGCAAGUCGAGCGAACAGACGAGGAGCUUGCUCCUCUGACGUUAGCGGCGGACGGGUGAGUAACACGUGGAUAACCUACCUAUAAGACUGGGAUAACUUCGGGAAACCGGAGCUAAUACCGGAUAACAUGUUGAACCGCAUGGUUCAACAGUGAAAGACGGUCUUGCUGUCACUUAUAGAUGGAUACGCGCCGCAUUAGCUAGUUGGUAAGGUAACGGCUUACCAAGGCAACGAUGCGUAGCCGACCUGAGAGGGUGAUCGGCCACACUGGAACUGAGACACGGUCCAGACUCCUACGGGAGGCAGCAGUAGGGAAUCUUCCGCAAUGGGCGAAAGCCUGACGGAGCAACGCCGCGUGAGUGAAGAAGGUCUUCGGAUCGUAAAACUCUGUUAUUAGGGAAGAACAAAUGUGUAAGUAACUAUGCACGUCUUGACGGUACCUAAUCAGAAAGCCACGGCUAACUACGUGCCAGCCGCCGCCGUAA
rnacentral:rRNA from 1 species